rnacentral:rRNA from 1 species
UACAGAGGUCUCGAGCGUUGUUCGGAUUCAUUGGGCGUAAAGGGUGCGUAGGUGGCACUGUAAGUCGGGUGUGAAAUCCUGAGGCUUAACCUCGGAACUGCAUUCGAUACUGCGGUGCUUGAGGACUGGAGAGGAGACUGGAAUUCAUGGUGUAGCAGUGAAAUGCGUAGAGAUCGUAAGGAAGACCAGUGGCGAAGGCGGGUCUCUGGACAGUUCCUGACGCUGAGGCACGAAGGCCAGGGGAGCAAACGGG